GACGUAGGGGGCGAGCGUUAUUCGGAAUUAUUGGGCGUAAAGCGCUCGUAGGCGGGACCGAAAGUCGGUGAGGAAAGACCUGGGCUCAACUCAGGGAACUGCAUCGAUGCUUCGGUUCUUGAGGUAAUCAGAGGGUGAUGGAAUUCUCGGUGUAGCGGUGAAAUGCGUAGAUAUCGGGAGGAACACCGGCGGCGAAGGCGGCCCUCUGGAUCGUUGCUGACGCUGAGACGCGAAAGCGUGGGGAGCAAACAGG
rnacentral:rRNA from 1 species